UUAAGCGACUAAGCGUACACGGUGGAUGCCCUGGCAGUCAGAGGCGAUGAAGGACGUGCUAAUCUGCGAUAAGCGUCGGUAAGGUGAUAUGAACCGUUAUAACCGGCGAUUUCCGAAUGGGGAAACCCAGUGUGAUUCGUCACACUAUCAUUAACUGAAUCCAUAGGUUAAUGAGGCGAACCGGGGGAACUGAAACAUCUAAGUACCCCGAGGAAAAGAAAUCAACCGAGAUUCCCCCAGUAGCGGCGAGCGAACGGGGAGCAGCCCAGAGCCUGAAUCAGUGUGUGUGUUAGUGGAAGCGUCUGGAAAGGCGUGCGAUACAGGGUGACAGCCCCGUACACAAAAAUGCACAUGCUGUGAGCUCGAUGAGUAGGGCGGGACACGUGGUAUCCUGUCUGAAUAUGGGGGGACCAUCCUCCAAGGCUAAAUACUCCUGACUGACCGAUAGUGAACCAGUACCGUGAGGGAAAGGCGAAAAGAACCCCGGCGAGGGGAGUGAAAAAGAACCUGAAACCGUGUACGUACAAGCAGUGGGAGCACAGAGCAAUCUGUGUGACUGCGUACCUUUUGUAUAAUGGGUCAGCGACUUAUAUUCUGUAGCAAGGUUAACCGAAUAGGGGAGCCGAAGGGAAACCGAGUCUUAACUGGGCGUUAAGUUGCAGGGUAUAGACCCGAAACCCGGUGAUCUAGCCAUGGGCAGGUUGAAGGUUGGGUAACACUAACUGGAGGACCGAACCGACUAAUGUUGAAAAAUUAGCGGAUGACUUGUGGCUGGGGGUGAAAGGCCAAUCAAACCGGGAGAUAGCUGGUUCUCCCCGAAAGCUAUUUAGGUAGCGCCUCGUGAAUUCAUCUCCGGGGGUAGAGCACUGUUUCGGCAAGGGGGUCAUCCCGACUUACCAACCCGAUGCAAACUGCGAAUACCGGAGAAUGUUAUCACGGGAGACACACGGCGGGUGCUAACGUCCGUCGUGAAGAGGGAAACAACCCAGACCGCCAGCUAAGGUCCCAAAGUCAUGGUUAAGUGGGAAACGAUGUGGGAAGGCCCAGACAGCCAGGAUGUUGGCUUAGAAGCAGCCAUCAUUUAAAGAAAGCGUAAUAGCUCACUGGUCGAGUCGGCCUGCGCGGAAGAUGUAACGGGGCUAAACCAUGCACCGAAGCUGCGGCAGCGACACUAUGUGUUGUUGGGUAGGGGAGCGUUCUGUAAGCCUGUGAAGGUGUACUGUGAGGUAUGCUGGAGGUAUCAGAAGUGCGAAUGCUGACAUAAGUAACGAUAAAGCGGGUGAAAAGCCCGCUCGCCGGAAGACCAAGGGUUCCUGUCCAACGUUAAUCGGGGCAGGGUGAGUCGACCCCUAAGGCGAGGCCGAAAGGCGUAGUCGAUGGGAAACAGGUUAAUAUUCCUGUACUUGGUGUUACUGCGAAGGGGGGACGGAGAAGGCUAUGUUGGCCGGGCGACGGUUGUCCCGGUUUAAGCGUGUAGGCUGGUUUUCCAGGCAAAUCCGGAAAAUCAAGGCUGAGGCGUGAUGACGAGGCACUACGGUGCUGAAGCAACAAAUGCCCUGCUUCCAGGAAAAGCCUCUAAGCAUCAGGUAACAUCAAAUCGUACCCCAAACCGACACAGGUGGUCAGGUAGAGAAUACCAAGGCGCUUGAGAGAACUCGGGUGAAGGAACUAGGCAAAAUGGUGCCGUAACUUCGGGAGAAGGCACGCUGAUAUGUAGGUGAAGCGACUUGCUCGUGGAGCUGAAAUCAGUCGAAGAUACCAGCUGGCUGCAACUGUUUAUUAAAAACACAGCACUGUGCAAACACGAAAGUGGACGUAUACGGUGUGACGCCUGCCCGGUGCCGGAAGGUUAAUUGAUGGGGUUAGCGCAAGCGAAGCUCUUGAUCGAAGCCCCGGUAAACGGCGGCCGUAACUAUAACGGUCCUAAGGUAGCGAAAUUCCUUGUCGGGUAAGUUCCGACCUGCACGAAUGGCGUAAUGAUGGCCAGGCUGUCUCCACCCGAGACUCAGUGAAAUUGAACUCGCUGUGAAGAUGCAGUGUACCCGCGGCAAGACGGAAAGACCCCGUGAACCUUUACUAUAGCUUGACACUGAACAUUGAGCCUUGAUGUGUAGGAUAGGUGGGAGGCUUUGAAGUGUGGACGCCAGUCUGCAUGGAGCCGACCUUGAAAUACCACCCUUUAAUGUUUGAUGUUCUAACGUUGACCCGUAAUCCGGGUUGCGGACAGUGUCUGGUGGGUAGUUUGACUGGGGCGGUCUCCUCCUAAAGAGUAACGGAGGAGCACGAAGGUUGGCUAAUCCUGGUCGGACAUCAGGAGGUUAGUGCAAUGGCAUAAGCCAGCUUGACUGCGAGCGUGACGGCGCGAGCAGGUGCGAAAGCAGGUCAUAGUGAUCCGGUGGUUCUGAAUGGAAGGGCCAUCGCUCAACGGAUAAAAGGUACUCCGGGGAUAACAGGCUGAUACCGCCCAAGAGUUCAUAUCGACGGCGGUGUUUGGCACCUCGAUGUCGGCUCAUCACAUCCUGGGGCUGAAGUAGGUCCCAAGGGUAUGGCUGUUCGCCAUUUAAAGUGGUACGCGAGCUGGGUUUAGAACGUCGUGAGACAGUUCGGUCCCUAUCUGCCGUGGGCGCUGGAGAACUGAGGGGGGCUGCUCCUAGUACGAGAGGACCGGAGUGGACGCAUCACUGGUGUUCGGGUUGUCAUGCCAAUGGCACUGCCCGGUAGCUAAAUGCGGAAGAGAUAAGUGCUGAAAGCAUCUAAGCACGAAACUUGCCCCGAGAUGAGUUCUCCCUGACUCCUUGAGAGUCCUGAAGGAACGUUGAAGACGACGACGUUGAUAGGCCGGGUGUGUAAGCGCAGCGAUGCGUUGAGCUAACCGGUACUAAUGAACCGUGAGGCUUAACCU
rnacentral:rRNA from 1 species